CUGCUACUGAGCCCACUAGAUCUAAGUGAUGAAGUCCCACAAAAUAUUAAGAAAUCCAAAUUAUUUGAUAAAUCACAUGAGAUGAACCUGCAAAUCAGUAGUGGGAGAAUUCAUAUUGAAAGGGAAAUACUAAUAGUAUUGAUUUUUAUCUAUAAACAAGUUUUUCCUAUGUUCAUAAAAGUUCUGUAUUAUAUCUACAGGGUGAGCUGGAACUGUUUAACCUCAUAAUUCCAAAACAGAAUCACGUGUUUCUCGUCUUUGAUUCCAUCAGGUAGCUGGCUGUGGUUGGAGAAUUAAAUAGCAGUUACUAAACACAUCUUUGGAUUUUGGAUAAUUAUUUAAACAUUAAUCAUGAAAAUUAAGAAUCCAAGUGUCUCAACUAUGGGUUGCAGAUUUGGCAUGCAAGCUUCUCCAUAGGUUUGAGGAUUUGCUUGGGGUAGAGUACAAUUGCCCAAUAUUCCAAGAAUAUAGACUUGAAAGGGUAGCUUUUUUCUCUCCCAGGAAAGCAGUGUCUGGUGUAAACACUCCUCUAAGCUUCAGUGAGAAUAGAACUAAAAAGGAAGUGAGCUUCAAAUCCCAGGCUUCUGGUUGUAACAGCAACACUCUACUUUCCUUCUAUAAAUAACAAUUCGUGUAAAACAGCAGGACUGUGCUUGGCACACAGAACAUAACCAAUGUGCAAUAAAUGGUAGCUUUUCUUGUCAUUGUUCUAUCAUUCUCACAAUAAUUCCAUUGACUAUUUAGCAUUAUUCUAAUUUUACAGAUGAAGAAACUGAAAUUUAGGACUCUCAGGUAACUUUAAAUAAAGCACAAAACUAAAAAGUGUCAAAGUUAUGAUAUGAACCUAGACUGAAAGAGAAGUAGCUUUAAGAGGAAGAGAAGUGGAGAUUGAGGUUUGAAUACGUGAAGUUGGAGAUGGCUGUUGGAUAUCCAGGUAUGGAUAUUGAGUAGGUGAUUGGGCCUGGAAUUGUUACUGAACACAAAUGCAGGUUUGUUUACCCGCUGCACAGGAGGGCUAAAAACUGGAGAUGCCAAGCUUGUGGCAAAGAAAGAGGUUUAUUAUCAAAAGGCAGACAGGUGAGGAGAUGGGAGUUAAAACUCACAUCCACCUCCUCAAAGGGAACAUGGUAGGGGUGUUUAUCUGGGGUUUUAGGUGGGGGAAGGGAGCAUGUGCUGUG
rnacentral:lncRNA from 1 species